rnacentral:tRNA from 1 species
UUUUUAUAAUUUAAAAAAAAUACUAGUCUUGUAAACUAGAAAUAAGCUUUGACUUUAAAAACAU